rnacentral:rRNA from 1 species
UUUNGAGGUAUAAAUUUAAAUAUAUUGCCAGGGCAAUACGAAUACAUAUUUAAAACCCAAAGGACUUGGCGGUGCUAUAAUCCAACUAGGGGAACCUGUCCCUUGAUUCGAUAAUCCACGAAAAUCUUACUUACCUUAGAUAAUAUCAGUUUAUAUACCGUCGUCUAGCCGGCCUUACCGAGAGAUAAAAAGCUGGCAGAAAAGGUUUUCUCUAAUAAGACAGAUAAAGGUGUAGCCAAUAGGUAAAGGGAAGGAUGUGUUACAAUUAACAAUUUGAUAAUGGAAUCCUAAUGAAACUUUAGGAGGAAAGAGGACUUAGAAGUAAUUUUCUAGUAACACUAGGAAGUGAAUUAUUAGGCUCUAUAGUGUGUACAAAUCGC